AGCAGGGGUCGAUUUAUCGCAUCUAGUAUAGACGCAAUGAAUCGACCACUGAGCGCUCUCCCAUCAACUCCGGUACUCCACCAGAACAAGAAGUGCAAGUGGAGUCGACGGGAGAGCAUCAGCUGUUGACUUAUUGCAGUGAAGAAACCACGAGGAAGAACACUUCAGGGUCA